rnacentral:rRNA from 1 species
CCUACGUGAGGCUGCAGUGAGGAAUAUUGGUCAAUGGACGAGAGUCUGAACCAGCCAAGUCGCGUGAAGGAUUACUGCCCUAUGGGUUGUAAACUUCUUUUCUAAGGGAAUAAAACGAGGCACGUUUGCCUUUUUGCAUGUACUUUAUGAAUAAGGAUCUGCUAACUCCGGUCCAGCAGCCGCGGUUAUACGGAGGAUUCGAGCGUUUUCCGGAGUUUUUGGUUUUAAAGGGAGCGUAGAGGGGUUGUUAAGUCAUUUGGGAAAGUUUGUGGCUCAACCGUAAAAUUGCAAUUGAUACUGUGUUCAUUGAGUGCGGGAGAGGCAGACGGAAUUCGUUGUGUAGCGGUGAAAUGCGUAGAUAUAAGGCGGAACACCAGUGGCGAAGGCGGUCUGCUGGACAGCAACUGACGGGGAGGCGCGAAAGCGUGGGGAGCAAACAGGAUUAGAUACCCGGGUAGUC